rnacentral:rRNA from 1 species
UACCAGCUCUCCGAGUUGUAGGGAUGAUUAUUGGGCUUAAAGCGUCCGUAGCUGGCUUAGCAAGUCUCCUGUUAAAUUCAGCGACCUAAUCGUUGAGCCGCGGGAGAUACUACUAGGCUAGGAGGCGGGAGAGGUCGACGGUACUUUCGGGGUAGGGGUGAAAUCCUAUAAUCCCGGGAGGACCACCAGUGGCGAAGGCUGUCGACUAGAACGCGCUCGACGGUGAGGGACGAAAGCUGGGGGAGCGAACCGGAUUAGAUACCCGGGUAGUCCCAGCUGUAAACUAUGCGGGCUAGGUGUUGGGGUGGCUACGGGCCACUUCAGUGCCGCAGGAAAGCCAUUAAGCCCGCCGCCUGGGGAGUACGGCCGCAAGGCUGAAACUUAAAGGAAUUGGCGGGGGAGCACCACAAGGCGUGAGGCUUGCGGUUC